UACGUAGGGUGCGAGCGUUAAUCGGAAUUACUGGGCGUAAAGCGUGCGCAGGCGGUUUUGUAAGCCAGAUGUGAAAUCCCCGGGCUUAACCUGGGAAUGGCAUUUGGGACUGCAAGGCUCGAGUGCGGCAGAGGAGACUGGAAUUCCUGGUGUAGCAGUGAAAUGCGUAGAUAUCAGGAGGAACACCGAUGGCGAAGGCAGGUCUCUGGGCUGACACUGACGCUCAUGCACGAAAGCGUGGGGAGCAAACAGGG
rnacentral:rRNA from 1 species